rnacentral:rRNA from 1 species
AGUAAUGCUUGGGAAUCUAGCUUGUGGAGGGGGAUAACUACGGGAAACUGUAGCUAAUACCACGUAGUAUCGAGAGAUGAAAGUGUGGGACCUUCGGGCCACAUGCCAUAGGAUGAGCCCAAGUGGGAUUAGGUAGUUGGUGAGGUAAAGGCUCACCAAGCCGACGAUCUCUAGCUGGUCUGAGAGGAUGACCAGCCACACUGGGACUGAGACACGGCCCAG